rnacentral:rRNA from 1 species
AUUGAACGCUGGCGGCAUGCCUUACACAUGCAAGUCGAACGGCAGCACGGGUGCUUGCACUGGUGGCGAGUGGCGAACGGGUGAGUAAUAUAUCGGAACGUACCUUAUUGGUGGGGGAUAACGCAGCGAAAGCUGUGCUAAUACCGCAUAACUCCCGUUAGGGGGAAAGCGGGGGACCUAAGGCCUCGCGCAAUUAGAGCGGCCGAUACCUGAUUAGCUAGUUGGUGAGGUAAAGGCUCACCAAGGCAACGAUCAGUAGCUGGUCUGAGAGGACGAUCAGCCACACUGGGACUGAGACACGGCCCAGACUCCUACGGGAGGCAGCAGUGGGGAAUUUUGGACAAUGGGGGCAACCCUGAUCCAGCAAUGCCGCGUGAGUGAAGAAGGCCUUCGGGUUGUAAAGCUCUUUUGUCAGGGAAGAAACAGCAGCUCUAACACAGUCUGCGAAUGACGGUACCUGAAGAAUAAGCACCGGCUAACUACGUG